rnacentral:rRNA from 1 species
AGGAAUAUUGGUCAAUGGACGAGAGUCUGAACCAGCCAAGUAGCGUGAAGGAUGACUGCCCUAUGGGUUGUAAACUUCUUUUAUACGGGAAUAAAGUGAGGCACGUGUGCCUUUUUGUAUGUACCGUAUGAAUAAGGAUCGGCUAACUCCGUGCCAGCAGCCGCGGUAAUACGGAGGAUCCGAGCGUUAUCCGGAUUUAUUGGGUUUAAAGGGAGCGUAGGCGGACGCUUAAGUCAGUUGUGAAAGUUUGCGGCUCAACCGUAAAAUUGCAAUUGAUACUGGCAGUCUUGAGUACAGUUGAGGUAGGCGGAAUUCGUGGUGUAGCGGUGAAAUGCUUAGAUAUCACGAAGAACUCCGAUUGCGAAGGCAGCUUACUAACCUGUAACUGACAUUGAUGCUCGAAAGUGUGGGUAUCAAACAGGAUUAGAUACCCUGGUAGUCCACACGGUAAACGAUGAAUACUCGCUGUAGGCGAUAUACGGUCUGCGGCCAAGCGAAAGCAUUAAGUAUUCCACCUGGGGAGUACGCCGGCAACGGUGAAACUCAAAGGAAUUGACGGGGGCCCGCACAAGCGGAGGAACAUGUGGUUUAAUUCGAUGAUACGCGAGGAACCUUACCCGGGCUUAAAUUGCAACCGAAUAUGGCGGAAACGCCAUAGCUAGCAAUAGCGGUUGUGAAGGUGCUGCAUGGUUGUCGUCAGCUCGUGCCGUGAGGUGUCGGCUUAAGUGCCAUAACGAGCGCAACCCUUGCCGAUAGUUACUAACAGGUUAUGCUGAGGACUCUGUCGGGACUGCCAUCGUAAGAUGUGAGGAAGGUGGGGAUGACGUCAAAUCAGCACGGCCCUUACGUCCGGGGCUACACACGUGUUACAAUGGGGGGUACAGAGGGCUGCUACCACGCAAGUGGAUGCCAAUCCCAAAAACCUCUCUCAGUUCGGAUUGAAGUCUGCAACCCGACUUCAUGAAGCUGGAUUCGCUAGUAAUCGCGCAUCAGCCACGGCGCGGUGAAUACGUUCCCG